CCUACGGGUGGCAGCAGUGAGGAAUAUUGGUCAAUGGGCGGAAGCCUGAACCAGCCAAGUAGCGUGCAGGAUGACGGCCCUACGGGUUGUAAACUGCUUUUAUACGGGAAUCACGCGCCUUACGUGUAGGGCUUUGCAUGUACCGUAUUAAUUAGGACCGGCUAAUUCCGUGCCAGCAGCCGCGGUAAUAAGUGGGGUCCGGGCGUUAUCCGUAUUUAUUGGGUUUCAAGGGAGAGUAGGGGGCAGGGCAAGCGUGCUGUGAAAUUUUCGGGCUCACCCCGGGCCGUGCAGCGCGAACUGGCGGGCUUGAGGACGCGGAAAGCAGGCGGAAGUCGUGGUGUAGAGGUGAAAGGCU
rnacentral:rRNA from 1 species